AUUAAAUAUAAAUGUGUUAUAUUUCCUUUUGUAUUAGGAUAUCUUUAAAUUUAGAAAAAUUUUCUAUAAAAGAAAGUUAGUAAAUUAAUUUAGAAUCAUUUAUUUGUUAUAUAAAUAAAAAAUUCUAAGUUGCUGUUAAAAGCUUUACACUAGCUGAUAUCUUUUAAAUUUUAUAAUAUAAGGACAAUCUUAUUUAAUAAAUUUAAAAUUUAGAUAAAAAGAUUAGAAACGUCUAAUUUAAUAUUUUCGUAAUAGAAAGUCUGAUUUAUUUAAUUUAAUUAAAAUAUUUAUUAAACUAAAUUAUUGUUUAAAUGAAUAUAAGGUAGUGAGUACAUUUGAAUUUAAUAUUUUAGAACUCGACAAUUAAUAUUCUAAUGUUUAAUAAAAACAUUGUAUUAAAGAUUUUUAAUAUAUUUCCCUGCCCAGUGAAUAAUAUUUUAACGGCCGCAGUAAUUUGACUGUGCAAAGGUAGCAUAAUCAUUUGUUUAAUAAAUUUAAACUAGAAUGAAAGGGAUAAAGAAAUAUUAAUUAUUAAAAAAUUAUUAUAUCGAAAUCAAUAAUAAAGUUAAAAUACUUUAUAUUUACAUUUAAACGAGAAGACCCUAGAAAUUUAAUAAUAUUUUUUUGGGAUAAAAUAUUAAAACAAAUUAAAUAACUAAUUUAAAUUUUAAUAAAUUACUCUAGGGAUAACAGCAAAAUUAAAAUUAAAAGUUCUAAUUUAAAUUUUAGUUUUUGACCUCGAUGUUGAAUUAAUUAAUUAUAUGGAGUAGAAAUUAUAUAAUAAUUGUCUGUUCGACAAAUAAAAUUUUACGUGAUUUGAGUUUAGACCGUCGCAAGACAGGUCGGAUUCUCUUUAAUGUAAAUCUUUGUUAAAAUUUCUUAGUACGAAAGGAACUUAAAUU
rnacentral:rRNA from 1 species